rnacentral:tRNA from 1 species
GGAAUAUAACUCAGUUGGUGGAGUGCUUGCCUUGCAUGCACAAGGCCCUGGGUUCAAUCCCCAACACCA